GGUUGUGGUGAUAGGAUCAAUUGUGGUUAGAGCCAAAAGAAUGAAAUCAAGUAGGAUCUCAUCUUCAUGUCUUGCCAAGUGAGGUGGUAGUAUACUUGUGUUUGGUUGAAGGAUAAGAUGUGGAGGAAGAGUGAUUUGGAAGGCACGCAAUGGACAAUAUAUGAAUCUGCUUUCACUUCCCCACCCACUGUGCUUCAAGUUAAAAAACAGGACACUUGAGUUGGCGCUGCAUUUGGAGCAUUAGGAAGUCGAUUAAUAAUAAAGACAAGAAGAUGAAGAUGAAGAAGACCCAAAGUUUCAAAUGGAGAUGUGUCUUUAGGUGUUUAUCAGGAAGCAAGAAAAUGUGUAUUCCUUGUUUGUUUUUUAGUUUUUCCAAAUAUCAAGGCUUUACAGCUCAGGUACUUACAGUUUCAUGUGCUUCUCCUUUCCUUGGUGAAUGUGCCCCCCCUCUCAACCUCCCUCAUUAUUGCUCAACUAUUGCAUUUUCUUUGCUUUUAUUGGGGCAAUAGAAACAUACGAAAAUCCGAGAAGAAUGAUGAUGAAUUUUAAAAGAGGAAACUAAAAUGGGUUGUGCUGUGUUUGAUUUUCUGGAUCCAAGUAUUGAAGUUUUUUUUUCUUCCAUCAGUUAUUGCAAACAAUAAAGAUGAAAAUUUUGAAGUUAGACUCUUAAUGAUGCUUUUAGUUCCGUCCAGACUAUCGAGUGUGAGUUUGUGAGGAAGAGAAAACUGAAAGAAAGCAUCAAGGAAUUAUCAAUCAAUAUCUAUGGUGGAAAAGGCAAGUGCCACCUUUUUUUUUUUUGGUGGUUACCAAAUUGUGCAAAAUGUCAAAAGAUGGCGAUGCUUCUUUUCAAAAAAUUUUUUUAAAGAGAACUUUCAUUUCUGCUUGCCUUAUUUUAAGCUCAGGGCUGAGCAUUUCAGAUAUUAACGCGCACUUGAAAGUUGGAUCGAACCAACCAGAACCAAAUUCCGUUGACUGUCAUUCCUAUUAUAACAUUAUGAAGACAUGAGGCCAAGCGCAAACCCAGGACAACAUGACCAAAGCAUAAUUGAAUUUUAUAUCAAUUUUCUUGUAAUUUUGGGACAUAAUUUGUUUUUACCCACAUCUACCAGAAUCUAGAAAUAAUAAUAAAUCUGUUUUUGUAAUUUUCUGUUUUGAUAACAAAAAAGCUAAAGGGUUGUACAUCUAACUACCACGCACAAACCAAACACAGGAAAAGCUUGUCAGAUCCAAUUCGCUCCGCCCUCCCCGAAA